rnacentral:lncRNA from 1 species
ACCGAACCAGCCGGAAGUCCCGGAAACCGUACCGAAACUCCACCAUCGUCACGUCCAGCCGUCGUUUCCGAACCCUCGAGAAGACGCGGGUGACCAGCCAACAAGGCUCAGCGACGCUGCAAUGAACCACGAGGCACCGUCGGAUGAAUUUUGAGUCGAAAACGCGUUCUAUCGGCGGAUUUCGUCGAAAAACGCUCCGGAAAUGACGAUUGAUUUCCGCAAGGGCUUGGGCUUUGGACGAUCAGAUCUCAUCUCAACAACAANNNNNNNNNNNNNNNNNNNNNNNNNACCCAUAUUCCAAUGUAAUAAAAACACUGAACCAUAUAAACUGACUAAGCUAUAACAACAGAAUAGUAGGGAUAAAACUAAACCGAUAACCUGGUCGGAAGCUCUAUCGACGCUACGAACGUACCUCACGUCUCGUCCAAAACUCAAACGUCUUGCAAUACCUGAAAAAAGUGGGGGAGGUGAGAACAUGUAAACAUGUCUCCCCUCCCAUGUGACGGUACCAAGCCGAAGAAGGCGAGAAGUACUCACCGGAUCAGGAAGAGAUAAACAACAGUAUGGGUAAGUAAAAUACAGUAGCAACGAUAAUGAACGAAUGAGAUAUAUAUUAUGAAAGCACAACUACCACUACUGUAAUGUACAACUGCAAGAUACAAGGAUAUCAAAACUAUAGUAGCAAGACAACUGUAAAGAAAGAACUAGAAGUAUAUAUACAACAAUCGCUACUAUAGCUAUAUGCGUCACACGGACGAGAAUCCAAACGUACCCAAUCUAAACCGCCGUGUCGGUCUAAGGACCUCAGGUAAAAGCCACUACCUGCUCACACCUGGCAUGUAACCCUAGCACAAAGAGAACACCGCUGGGCUCACGGUCGGAUGUACGACCACUUUUCCGGAAAAGAACACCCUCCUGCGGGGGAUCAACCCGCUGGUGUAGUGAAAUGCACUCGAGCUGUGGCGAUCAAUGCGGAUAUGAUCAAUAGCCAACCGUUGGCGAUCAGCCGACAAUCACUGCCCCUCUGGGCAUACGACCGUGUAGGUCAUCAAGUAACAACGUGAACCGACCGAGAUAGGUCAAUGUACGGAAAGUAACGAACGACCAAGCACGGUCACCGAUGCAAAUAGGAGAACCGACCAACCAGUCAAAGUAUAGUAUAUGCGAAUGCCAUCUACUCUACCCCUAUACAGGAUACUACACACUAAGAACAACCAGGCAGAGUAAAUAAAGAUAGUAUGUAGAUACUGCUCGAUGUCAACUAAAAGUACGAACGCAAGAACGACCGAUAGUCACAGGAGUGUAUUCGAUAUAGUCCAGAACUACCGUCAGCACCAGCCGACAAUCCUACCCUCAGGGUACACCGACCUCAAGGUCAUCGACGACGGGACUCAUGAAGCUGACUGACUAGGUCACAAACAUACCAAACAGUGGAACUGAGUAAACUAUAAUAAUCCGUCGGCGUUGGCCGACAAUCCCACCCCUUAGAGUAUACCGACCUCAAGGGUCAUCGAACGAAGUACGAGAACCAACCAACCAGGUCAACGAAUACUGAAUGCAACAACAGACCAACUAGGUCAACAGAUACGAAAUGCAACAACCAACCAACUAGAUCAACAGAUAUGCUAUAAAGAGAACUGCUCUACUCCUACUCGGAAUACAAAGCAUACAAACAGCGAGUAGUGUUUAACGAAUAAACAAGGUGCAAGGCUCAAUAUACUAUGGAUAGUAACAACAGAAGAGUAAGGUAAGAAACCAUCACCUAGCGUGCCACACUGUACGACGUCGGAUCGAAGUACCCACCUGUAUAAAGCUGAAACGGUCUCGCGAAGGCGAGAACGAAGCGACCGGACAUACGAAGGGUCACCGGGUUAGAGUCUAACCUACAAACACAAUAACACGACCUUCUCACACAAAUCCCAAAAUCAUAACCCCUCGGAAAUCGGUUUCUAAACGCAACUACCGAACCAGCCGGAAGUCCCGCGAAACCGUACCGAAACUCACCAUCGCAUCACGCCGUCGUUUCCGAACCUCCGAGAAGACGCGGGUGACCAGCCAACAAGGCUCAGCGACGCGUGCAAUGAACCACGAGGCACCGUCGGAUGAAUUUUGAGUCGAAAACGCGUUCUAUCGGCGGAUUUCGUCGAAAAAACGCUCCGGAAAUGACGAUUGAUUUCCGCAAGGGCUUGGGCUUUGGACGAUCAGUCCAGAAGUUGUCCUGAGCCCUAACUUGCUGCCAACAGCAGCCCACGACGAAGCGAAAGCAAAGAAUCCUCUAACGGCACAUGAAUUCACAUUAUUUAUGUGAUUUCAUGCUCCAACGGGUCGUACCAGCAAACCAGGACUACGGAGGGUGCCAUCACACAUCGUUGCUAGGUUUCAGCAAUGCCUGGGGCCGUGCUCACCUUUCGGAGCACUGCCGCCGCAGCAACUAGCCGCCGACGCGCUGCGAACAACAGCGAACCAGCGCGCACAGCCGCGAAGAUAGCACAUUACCUCUAACCAGGGCACCGCUUAACCUAAAUGGAGGUGAGCAUCGUGUUCAGCAUGAGCCCACGAUCAUCGCUGCUCACCUCUAGAGGUGCCAGGGAGUCAUCGGAUCACCGAAAAAGUGACCGGAACACUAAAAUGUAGUGCUAACAUAAAUGGCUACUCACCGGAGCAGUGGGAGCUAGGGAUAGGCCGCGGCGAUCGGGGAGGGCGCUCCGUCGGUGAUGGGAGCAGCAGGUCGGGGAGUUCGGGAGGUGCUGGCCGGCGGCGGGCAGCAGCCGUGGCGCGGCGGCGGAGAUCGGGCCCGCACACUUCCUCUCGGGUUGGAGCUUGCCGGCGGCGAGGCGGCGACCGGGAGGUCGAGGCGGCGAUGAUCCGGUGCGCGGAGACCAAGGGGAAGGGGUGCUCACCUCAGAGGGCAACGCGGCGCUCGGGAGUGGGCGCGCUCCAAGGUCGGCCCGCACAGACCGGCUGGCGCGGGAGACUUGGCGGCGGCCGGCGAGCGCGCGGGACGGCCGGGGACGCGCUGCGCCGGGUUGCUGAGGUCGCCGGGGUCGACAGGGGGCUUGCCGCAGGGGAAGUGCGGUCCCAAGGCCGGCAACCGUGAGCUCGGCCUGGCUCGGGUCUGGGCAGAGCCGGCUGGCUGCAGCCUCUUCGGCGCUCCCGGCGACGCUCGGGGUGGCCGGGGCGGCGGGGAAAGGGUGCCGGAGGAAUAUCUCGACCAGGGGAAGGUGGUGCUCUGGCUAACAGGCCUCUCCAAGCACCAAGCUUAAGCCGGUGUGAGGUGGUCCAAGAGAGGAGGAAUGUUGGCUGGCAGGCUGUUUCGGCGGCCCGGGGCUGCUCGGCGGCGGCCGGAACGCGAGCACGGGCGAGGCAGGGAGGUGCUGGGAUGGCAGGGCGGCUGGGGUCAGCUAGGGGUUUCUAGGUUAGGGCUUGGUCCAAGAUAGACCACUACUCACUCAAUAGCGUUGGAAAAUCGUCGAACGGAAAACCCCUUCGAAAAGGAAUCUAAUUAAUCCCAGCUCUCAACCAGCAGUCGCACAAUGCGCAAUAUCCCUCUGAGUUCGAAGACUCGCCAAUUUGAUGCAUAAAAUAUAGGGCCUUUUCGCGAAUGAUCCGAUUCUCAAAUCCAGUCCCCUUCGCGGACUUUUCGCAAUUCCCAGAAGAUCCGUCCGUCAGAUUCCGAUCGAUUGACCAGCGCGAUCAGCAAGACAGAGGCAAUCGAAUCUAGCAUUUUCGUUUCGCCGAAAAGGUUUCCGAUUUGCGACAAAACCAUCCCUCCAAGGUUCCACCAAACCGCAUAUAGACGACUAUAUGCUAAAACCAUUAAACCCUUUUCUCGAAAUCUGUGCAUCCAAAACCAAUUCGUCAGUGCCAUUGGUUCCAAAACAGCUGAACGGUAGAAACAGAGCUAUUUGACUGAUAUGAACGGAGUCUGAUACGCGCCAGAAGCCAACUCUACUCACGUGGCUUCUCCCGGAAAACCGAGUUACUAUUCACUUAAGUGAAAACUAAAAGUCGCGUAUCUUCUCCAUUUUAGCUCAUUUUCGCACCGAAACUUGACGAGUCCUUAUGUAAUUAAAUUACACACAUAAACAUCAUCAACAGAGAGUUUAGUAGCACUGUCAAAAAAAUCUCAGUCCUUACAUAUAUAUAUUAUUAUUAUAUAUAAUAUAUUAUAUAUAUACAUAUAAUUAUUAUAUAUUAUAAUACCACGGCUCUCGCCCCCUCCCCCUCCCCGUCUCUCUCCCCCUCUUUUCCUUUCCCUACCCUCCGGCUGUCUCUCUCUCUCCCCCCUCCCUCCCCCCGUCUCUCUCCCCCUCUUUUUCUCUCCCUACCCUCCGGCUCUCUCUCUCUCCCCCCCUCUCCCCCUCUUCCCAGCGCGAGCGGGGUGCAGGCGCGGUCGCCGGCGUGGUGGCGGGCUCCGCCGCUGACACGGACGCGGGCCGAGAUCCUCCCUGCGGGCGUGGUAGCCAGCGCGAUGCGUGAUGCGUGGGGCGCGGGUGCAAGGGCACGGGCGCAGCACCAAGCGUGGGCACGACGCGAGCACCAGAGGAGGGGGGUGGGGAGAGGAAGAGAGGGGAAGAGAGAGAAAGAGAGAGAGCCAGGGGGUGGCAUGUAUGCGGGGAGAGAGAAAGCGUGAAAGAGAGUCCCCAGGGGGAGAAAGAGAGAGAGAGAGAGAGGGAGGAGAGAGAGAAUUUUAAAAUUUUAAAUUUUAAAUUUUAUAUUAUUUAUAUUUAUUUAUUAUAUAUAGUAUUUUUUUUUUGCUUCUCCCCUAUGGCACCCACUCCUCUCUCUCUCUCUCUCUUUUUUCCUUUCCUAUCCUUUUUUUCGUUUUUAUCCCUCUUUUCUAACCUUUUUUUUUUUUUGUUCUGUAUAAUUAUGGAUCACAUACAAAAAAUAAAAAAAUUAAAUUUAAAAUUUAAAAUUUGGUUUUGAAUAAAAUUUAAAUUUUAAACCGAAUAUUUUCUUAUAUUGCUGACUUUGCAGUUUAGGCGCUAUUUACUAUAUAAUUUAAAAUAUUUUAGAAUUUACAUAAAUUUUCCGUUGCGUAGCGCGGGUGAUUUCCUCGUAUAUAUAUAUAGUUGAGCUGGAAUACUAUUAAUAGUAUAUAUAUGGGCUCUUUUGCUAUUGACUUUUUAGCCAUUAAAUCUAUACUUUAAUCAAUUCCACUUUUCAAAUCAUAUUAUUCAACCAAUCACCCACUCAACUCUAGGAGGAUCACCAGUAAACCCUAGGCGACCACUAUCAUUCUAACCUUAUAAUUUUUCAUUCAAGAAUUAAAAACUCAAUAGCAAAAGAAUCUAAAUACUAUUAAUAGUAUUCCAACCUAAUUCAAUAUAUAUAUAAUUGAGCUCCUAUGUUUUUAAAAGGACCGAAGUUCAAUGUACUUGUGAUUUUUUUAGCCGUCAGAUCAUCUAAAGAUCCGUGCAGCACUAAUAAAAGAGGACUUAGUGAGACACACCAUUAAUAGUGCUGUACAGAUUUGAGGCAAUCCAAUGGCUAGAAAGUCACUAGCAUAAAUAUUCCUAUAUGCUUAUAUACAUAAGCUCAACUCUCUUUCUGCAUAUACAUGCCUUCGAAAAUGUAAAACGGGUACGUACCUUUAGCCUCAUAGUGCUAAACUAGGCAUAAGAGAGACACAUGCAUGCAACUACUGUCCAAACUAUAGUGAGAAAGUUUACAAAUUUUAACAUCCUACUUUAAUUUAUUCUCGCAAAAUUUAUAAUUGUAAUAAUUGAUAUGGAGUGUUUGCACUUUUAAUGAUCUAAAAAAGUUCAAACCAGUUAAACUUCUAUUAAAAAAAAUUUUAAACCAUUUAAACUAUGAUCUAACACCCUUGAUCUUUAGUAAAAAAAUUUCUGUCAUUAUUUUUUCAAUGAUAUUUAUUUUCAUCCGUUUAUUCUUGUGCCCCUUUAUACAUUCAUUUAUUCUUGUGUUCAUUAAUGCACAAGUGAACAAUAUCAAAAAAUAUCAAAUUUUAUUUCUGUAUACAAUUAGUGAUUUACACUACAACAGAAUUAGGUUAUAGGGACACAUGUUUGGUACACUUUUGAGUAAGUGUCCCAUUUAUCCUAAAACUUAAAAAAAUAUCUACUAAUGCCUAAAUAUAAAGCCCAAUCCAACCAAAAAUAAAAGAUUACUCUACUCAACUCACCAUACCCAGUCCAUUUGGUCCGAUUACAAACAGAAAAGAAAAAAAAAAGAAAAUUCAAUUACCAUCUUUUCUUCUCUCUUCACUCAAUCCACUGAAAUUCUAGAUGAAGUGCCUUUCUUGUCGUCCUCCUCCGCCACUGCAGCCAACGAGAUAGAGUUUCGGCAAUUGCUAAAUACUUAAAUAAGUGUUGGUAAAUUAGCAGCACUCUUUUAGGUUAUAGCGACACACUUUAACUGUCACUAUAUACCUAGCGACCCCACAUAUAGCAACACUUUUUAAAAGUGUUGGUAAUUUUAGCUAGCAGCACUUUUUUGACAUGUACCUAUAUUUAAAAGUGUCGUUAUAGACCGUUUUUAUUGUAGUGUUAGAUCAUGGCGAUGAUCAUCAAUUUGAAGGCUUUAUCUUAAAAAAUAAAUUGGUAAUAAUGGAGCUCGUUUACUAUCAAUAGUAUUUUAGUCCAACUCUCUCUCCCCUCUCUCUCUCUCUAUCUCUCUCUAUGUGUGUGUGUGUGUGUGUGUGUGUGUGUGUGUGUGUGUGUGUGUGUGUGUGUGUGUGUGUGUGUGUGUGUUGAGAGAAUAAAAAUUGGAUGUUAUUUGAAAAAUGUAACGACCCAGCCCACUAGCAAUAAUAACUCGUUGGGCCCAACCACAACCCAAAAUGCUUAAGCCUUGCUACUGCCAAUAUUUUGAUCUUCGUAUGCCUUGGUCAGGGUAUUAUUAUGGAUCCAUGAACUACUAUCCGUAUGAUCAGUAAAUCUAUUUCAAUUUUGUAAUCUAAAAUAGAUGAACAAAAUAAGUCCUAAUUAUAGUAUAGUGCUUGAACGAACCACCAUUUCUAUGGCUGGGCCAAACCGAGCAUUAUUUGUCCAACAGUGGGGCACUACGUUACUUUGCAUUUAAAGAAAGGAACCUGCGCGCAUGAGACCUAAUUAUAUAUAUAGGGGAUAUAUAUAUCCUCAGCAACAUUAAUUCUCUAACAUGUGGGCGUCAAAGAGGAGUCCGGAAACUGGCCUUAAUAAAUGUUUAAAGCUGAAGAUGUAUAUAAAUUAUUUGAACUAUGAUGUGAUUUUAUUUAACUAUUUAAUUUUAGAAAAUUUUGAUUUUGGUAGAUAACUUUUCAAUUUGUUUAAUUUAUGUCAUUUAGUAAUUUUUUCAGUAGAGAAUUUAGAAUGAUUACUUACUUUAAUAUAAAUAAAUAAAUAUAUAUAUAAUUACAUGAAUUACGUAGAAUAUACUAAUUAAUAAACCCCGUAAAUAUAGACGAUGGAUCUAAAUUUUAAAGUUGAAUAGCUUGAAUCAAAUAAAUUAAUGAGUUAGAUAUAUAGAAGAGUCAAAAUUUUUAAAGAUAAAUAGUCAGAUAAAAAUGAGUAAUAACUCAGAUAAAUAUAUAAAUUUUUACCUGUUUUUAAAAUAUAUAAUUUUGAGGAAAAAAAACCUUUUCAGUAAACAAUAAUAUGAAGCUUAUCCUUAAAGUGUGAAAAUAAUUAAAGUUAUCUAGUCAAUUUCAAAGCGAAAAUUCUAAUUCGAAAUUCUAUUUUCAAAUCUAGUUCAAAGAUUUCAUAAGAAUGGUAAAUAAAGUUUUAUAACUGCUUCUUCAAAUGGCUUGUGUUAGUUAUGCUAAAAGGGAAACCACUUUAUGAACAUUUUUAUUAUAAUAUAUUUUUUCUAUAACUAAAUUAUGAACUACAAAUUAUAAUUAUUUUAAAUUGCACAGAAAAUCAUCUAAUAUCUCACAACUAAAAAAUAAUAAUUUUUUGAUGUCAAAAUUGUAAUUUUGAUAUUCAUUACAACAGAAGGAUCAAGACUUUUUUAUUUCUUAAACACUACUGAGAAUACUUAUCACUAAAAAUAAAACUAGAAAAGGAAUUUAACUAAAAAGAAGGAAAUUUGCUCCUCUACAAGCCCUAGUUAGAGUAAGCAAGUUCUAGUAAAGUAUUCACCUCAGGCCCAAUUUGGGAUAUAGCUAUAAAGCACUAGUUUUUAUUCUUUAUAUUGUUCAUUUUUUUUUUUUCUCAUUCAUGCUAUAAAAUUGUGGUGCAAAUUGUCCUCAGAUAAGCAUGCAAUCGCCUGCUUUACAGUAUAAUUUUUGAUAGAUUGAAAAUAUUUUUUAAAUUUUUUUAAAAAUAGAAAAAGUAGAUGUUUAAAUACUAUAAUACUAAGCUAGAUUUUGCUGGCUUAAAGGACCAGCAUUCUGUCGUAUCGCGAAAGGUCAGAAUAUGCUGAAUGAAUCACGUUUAAAAUGGUGAGAGACUGGUUAGAUAUGAAUAUUGUAUCUCUAUGCUUUAAAUAAAUUAGUUGUAUAUUUUUUUAACAAUUCAAACUUUUAAAAUUAAUGAUUAGUGCAAACGAUUCGAUCGGCGAAUAAUAUGCUUACGUAUAGCAAAACUAAUGAGUAGGCACUUGGGAAAAAUGAGUGAAAAAGAAAAAAGAGAGAGAAUUUGGAAAGGAACGAUAGGGGAAAGCACGACGAGGAGUAUGGACAGAAUCCCACUACCAAAACGAAUGUAGGGCAAAAAAUAAAGGGGUAAUGUGACAUUAUCGGGACCAAAGUGUCAACAAAGCAACCACCGCACUCUCCCCCUCUCCCCUCUCUCAAAGUCCUCCUUUCACACCCUCCUCUCCAAAUUAAACUACGUGCAUUAUUAUUAUGGCCACAUGAUUUUGACACCUCCCCAUGCAAAUCCCCUCCACCCCCCCCUAUAUAUACCCCACUCAUUCCCUACCACCUUACACAACAACCACUAAACCACAAUGGCUAGAGUUAGUAGCAACUGUACUAGUGGUGCUAAGCAUCUUCUUGCUCUUUCCCUUGCUCUCCUCCUCCUUUGCGUCGGCGUCACCUCCGCCGCCAGAUCCCUUGUUGGGUUUGCGAGCGGUGGAGGUGGCGGCGGUGGCCAUGGCGGUGGCGGUGGCGGUGGAUAUAACGGUGGUGGUUACGGGUCCGGGUACGGUGAGGGGUACGGUGAGGGGGGUGGCGUAGGGCCCGGUGUAGGGCGUGGAAUGGGAGGAGGUGGCGGUGGCGGCGGCGGCGAAGGUGGCGGCGGCGGCUACAAUGGUGGUUCGGGGUACGGCUCUGGAUACGGUUCUGGGUACGGUGAGGGAGGCGGCGUAGGGAUUGGAGGAGAGUACGGAAGGGGAGAAGGCGGAGGCGGCGGGGGCGGCGGUGGGGAAGGUGGCGGUGUGGGCUCCGGUUACGGCUCCGGUCAUGGCUACGGAUCGGGCUACGGGUCCGGCGUGGGCGGGGCGCAGGGCGGUGGUUACGGAAGCGGAGGAGGCGGUGGCGGUGGCAGUGGCGGCGGCGGCGGUGGCGGCCCCGGUGGUGGCUUCGGAAGUGGAAGUGGAUCGGGAUACGGGAGCGGCGAAGGCGGUGGCAGCGUGCACGGCGGAGGAUAUGGAACUGGAGGCGGCGGCGGCGGAGGCGGGGGAAUGGGCGGCGGCGGCGGCGCAGGGUCUGGGUAUGGUUCUGGGUAUGGGUCUGGAUAUGGAAGUGGUGGGGGAGGAGGACACUACUGAGUUAGUUCGUAUAGCUCAAAAUAAGGUUCUACUUUACAUAUAUAGCAUGGAGGAGAAGGUCUGUUUAAGAAGAGAAUGUGAAACCUAGGGUGAACUAUAUAUAUAUAUAUACAUGUAUGUGAAAUUAUAAAGAUGUAUGUGGUUUGCGGUGUGUGUUAUCUUAAUUAGAAAUGUAAUAAGGGAAUCUGCAGGCUUUAAAUAAAGAAAUGGAGACUUAAUUAUAUAUAUAAAUUAACUUAGCAUGGUUGUUGACUGUGACUUUUUCUACUACUAAUUAUUCCCAGCUAGUAUUAAAUCGAGGGUUAGUUGUUAAUUUAAAUGAAUCCUAGUAAUUUUAUCAAAAUCCAUGUAACAAUUUUUCGACCUGUAAAAGGAAAGUGAAUAAAGCAAAGUUUUUUACAUCAAAAUUCACCAGAAAAUGUGCUAAAAUUAAAGGGGCGCAAGUUAAAGCGCUAAACUUCAAUUGUUCCUGUGCUUUAGGACUUCAAAAAUAUAUAAAAAAAAUAAAUUUAUAAAAGUUUUAUUUUUAGUUUUCCACAUAUUUGGUUUCGAAAAAAUAGCUUUUUUGUAAUUUAUUUUUAAAAAUUUUAUAGAUAGAUAAAUAUAUAUGUAGUGUUUCAUAUUUUUCUAAAAAAUUUGAAAAACCAAAGCACUAGUUAAUUAAUUUUCCAUAAGAUUUGGAAAAAUAUUUUUCAAAAUACUUAGCAUUUCUCAGAACUAAAAACGGAUGGAAAAUUGAAAAAGAGAUUUUUCAUAGAAAACUUUUUUUCUUGAUUUUUUAUUUUCAUUCUUUUCCUAGGAACCAAACAGCAUAUAUUUUCACUUUACUCAUCUAUUGUUCAAAAGUUGUACUUAAUUAUUCUGUAAUUUUAUUUUAAGAAGAUAUCACUAAAUAGGAUAUUGUUAGUUAUAAUUUUUGCAAACCACAUGGCAAUCAAUAUUUUUUUUUAAAUUAUAAUCCACAUUUUACCACACUGAAUUGAAUUCAAAAAUAUCACUAUGCUGCUUUGUUUAAUAGGGACUUUUGGUUAUUUAAAUAAGUAGGUUUCUAAAAUAAAAUAAAAGUAAAUUAAAAAAGAUUAGUACAAUUUUUUGAACUCCAAAAUGACAAAGUAAAGUUGUAUCAGGCCAUAGGAGGCGGAUUAAAAUUAAUUUACCAUUUGUUAUAGUAUUUUGUUUAGUUGCAAUUUUCUUUUUUUUUUGUUUAUCAAAUGAACAAUGCUAGGCGUACCACUCUAGAUUAGCUUUAUAUCUUAUCCUGCUAUCAUCAUAUGCUCUCAUCUCCGUCUACAAAAAAAUUUAAAUUUAGUGACAUUUAUAAAUGUUACUAAAUAAGCAAGAAAUGCAACUAAAUUUUUUAGCAAUACUUAAAGUGUAGUGUUGGUUAUGCCCAUAUUGUUGAAUCUUUUAGUUUAUUAACCUAUUGGGUUUGUCACUACAACAUAGCUAGGUUAUAGGGACAUAUUUUUAGAACACUUUUAUAUUAGUGUUUCAUUUAUACCAAAUUUUUUUUAAAAAUCUAUUAAGGCCUAAAUAUAAAGCUCAAUCCAAUCAAAAACAAAAGGUUCCUCUAUUAAACCAAUCACACCCAACCCACUCUUCCCGAUUACAAAUAAAAAAGAAAAAAAAAUUGAUCACCAUAUAUCUCCCAUUCUCCUCCUCUGCUGUCGCAGCCGACGAGGAAGGGUUCCGGCGGUUGGAGUUCGGCUGCGAGAAUCAUGCAGGAACCGUAAAGAGCUACGAUCGCCACGUAUUCCUCGGCCACAGGUUGCUGGAGGAGUGGUGCCAAAUAUCAAGACGGCCCUACCUAUAGCGACUCUACAUAUAGCAACACUUUUAAAAAGUGUCGGUAAUUUAGCCAGCAGCACUUUUUUUGACAUGCACCGAUAUUUAAAAGUAUCACUAUAUAUCAUUUUUGUUGUAGUGUGUUUUUAUGGACCAGCAACAUUAGCCCAAUUUUAACUAGACUCAGCUUACUCACUCAGCCUACGUAUAAUUAAAAUAUAUUAUAUAUAAUAUAUUUUUAAUAUAUAUAUAUAUAUAUAUAUAUAUAUGUGGCUAGAUUGAUAUACUAUUGAUAAUACGGAGCCCUCCGUGCUACCAAAUUGUUUUCAAUGAUCCGGCUUCUAAAUCGACGAUCGACUGUGUUACACUUAAUCUACACUAUUAAAAGUAUUUGGAACCUAAAUUUCAUAAUUUUUCGACAUCAUUUGGCUAGUGAUCAAAAGAUCUCAAAAUUGACAAUUUUAAUGGUAGAUGUGAUGCGUUUGUGAAUUUAACGGNAGUGUAAAACAAUUCAAAUCUAAUAAAAUUUUUAUAAAAAAUUCUUUUCACUAUUUAGAAUAAGAUCAGUACCUCUGAUCUUAAAUUCAAGUCCUUUUUCAUCAUUUUUGUGAGAUUUUUAUUUUCAGCCGUUCAUUUUUAGACUACUCAUUUCAUAGGUAAAUGGUGUCAAAAAGUUAUGAAAUUUAGUUUCUAAGUACUUUUAAUAGUGUAGAUCAAGUCUAAUUGAGCCAAUUGUUGAUUUGGCAGCCGCAACAAUGAAAACAACUUGGUAGCACGGAGACCUCUGUGCUACCAAUAGUAUACCAGCCUAGCUAUAUAUAUAUAUAUAUUCGAGCUUUUCGAGUCUAAUUCAAGCGAGCCGAGUAAUACUCAAGCUCAGCUUGAAAUGAAUUUCGAGCUUUUUCUUUUGUUCAUGUUCGGCAAAUUUAAUUUCGAGUCGAACUCGAGCGAGCCGAAUAUCGAACCGAACGUGAGCCUGCUCGCUCAUUUGCCAGCCCUACACAUAGUCCCUCUCUUUACUCUUUCUCAAUCCUAUUUGAUCUAAACAAUAUAUUAAUUAAUAUUUCAAAAGCCAAAUUCAAUCCUACUUAUACGUCAGUAAAUUUAUUUCUUCCAACUUUUACUUGGAAUGCAUACAAAAUAUAAUAUAUGUAUAUGCAUGGAUCUUUUGCUUUUAUUUAUAAAUUGUGAAUUUUAUAAAGAAUAAAUUACGCAAUCGUAUGUGUGAUCAAUUGAUAAACGAUUGUUUGUUGACUUAUAUAGAAAGAGAAGUAUUUCAUAGUAUCUUCAAUGAUAGCUUGUAUCAUUUUUGAAAUAUGAAAAAAUAUCGAGGACAAUUAUAAAAAAAUAGUACUUUUUUUAACACAAUAUUAAUGUCUAGUUUAUUUUAUAUUUUUUAUAUUUUUUGUUAUAUAUUUGAUCUUAUCAGAAAAAAUUUUUAGAUUUGUCGCUGAUCAGACCCUUGCAACUUUAUCUGUAUAGUUGGAAAAUAGUCUAGGCACCCAAACACUUCUUGUUCUAUAGCUAGAUCUUAGAUGUGACAUUCUAUUUAAAAUGUUGAAAUUAGUAAGAUCCUAGAAUAUCAGCUCUAAAUUUAUGUGUUCUGUGUAAAACAAGAGGUCAAGAGUAACCAGAUUUUGUAGAUUAGCCCAGAACCUACCAUUUUCAAGGUUUUCUAAACAAAGGCCUAACCAAGUAUAGACCCAACAAUAUAGAACAUCACAACAAUUAAUAUAUGUAUAAGCCAUUUUUUAACAUCGCCACCACCUCCACCACCUCUGUUCUCACCACUGCAUGCAAUCAUUUGCCAUGGCCUACUCCUCGCGCAUGUUCCUCGCCUCCACAUUGGUGUUACUGGUUCUUGUGACACCUUAUGGUGCAGCUGGUGAUCAGGUUGGCCAAUACGACGUCGUCAGAUACAAACAUCAUCGCUCUCGCUUCCGAUCAAACCUCCGAUCAUUCAAGCAUCGGCACGGCAAAUUUCGACCUAGCGGGUGGAGCUUCGCACAUGCUACGUUCUACGGCGGAAGUGAUGGAUCUGAAACCAGAGGUGACAUUUUGAACUUGUUUAUUGGUUUGCCAAUCUCUCAUCCGAUCGAGCCAAGCCAAUCUAGUUUUUUCGUUUGGAUCAAACAUUCAAGAAAUUAUCCACUCGGCCUAGAGACUUCAAGUGGCGCCAUGCACACACUGUUCCUCACUUAUAACAGGAUUUGUAGUUGGAAAUUGAUGUCUCAAGAGGUCUUCGAUCGUGGUAUCAACAUAUGCUAGUGAAGAAGCCCGCGCUUCGCAGCGGAUAAAAAUUACUAUAUGAGUAAUUAAUAAUAAGAUAACAUCAAAUAUUCUCUUGUGUACCUCACUUACCAUAGUCACGAAAAAUCUCUCACUAUUGGCAGCGGAGAUGGAACUGACGACACAUUUUCCGGUGACGGUGAUAGUGAAAAUGACGACAAUCCCUUCAGCUGUAGCGGAGGGGGCAGAUGAGCGCGCAUUAGUUGUAGGGAGGGUGGCCACGGUGUAUGGGAAAAAAUGAGGGAGAGAGAAUUGAUGAAUUAAUUGGAGAUGAAAAAUCUAGUGGAGGAAAAGUUUGGUAGUGGGAACGAAAGAUAUGAUGGAUGGAAAGUACUUGAUAGUUGGAACAUUUAGAUGUAUUAAUUAACUAUAUUAAUUAAAAAUUUGAUGAAGGAAACGGACAGGGUCAAAUGAUGGUGAGGGUGACAAUAAAAAAAUAUUAAAGAUUCAUAUAAGUUAAUAGAUUAAUAGAUAUGUAUCAUUAAGCUCGAUGGAGUGCAAAAUGAUUAGAACUGGCCUGGCUGGGGUGGUUCGGGCUGGGACCUAAACAAACAAUACAUAUCUGACCUGAGUUUUUCUUGGCCCACACGAAAUUAUGUAUCACUAUACCUACAAUGCUAUAAAGUUAGCUUAUCUUUGGAAGAUCAUUAAAUAUUUGAUUAGCCCAGUGGUUUGUUGUUCAGAUGAUCCACUAAAGAGGUCCGGAGUUUGAUUCUAUGAGAGUGGGUUUGAAUGAUAAGGCACAAAUUAAUAAUACCUGACUUCUCCGGUUAUAAAUUAGAAUAAAUUUUUGACAAAAAUUUAUUCUACUUAUCUCAACUAUAGACUAUUCUGUUUUGACUACCAAAUCUUUCAAAAUUUUGAUUUUAAUAAAUUUUUUAAUUCGUUUGAUUUUAGUAAGUCAACGAUACGUAAUUUGUUGUUUAUCUUUAUAGAUUUAAUUAUCAUACUGCAUGCAAUUCUCACAAUCAUAAAUUAAUUAAAGUACUUAGUUAGAUUAUAUUUUGAAGUCAAAAUAUCGUUGACUAAUUCAAAUUAAAUAAAUUAAAAGGUUAAAUAGUAAAAUCAAAAUUCUUGAAGUUUAGACAACCAAUUCAAAAAAGUUCAUAGCUAAGACAAGUUUGAUAAGUUUUUAUCUAAAUUCUUAUCUACAACUUCGCAUGUAACACAAUUUACUAAUAAUUUUAUAGAUCUUAUGACAUCUAAUCCGGCCUAAUCUUUUAGGAGGAGCAUGUGGGUACCAAGACACAGUGAGCCAAGGCUACGGCCUGCAAACUGCAGCAUUGAGUUCAGCUCUAUUCAACAACGGCCUAGCUUGUGGUGCUUGCUUUCAGAUCAAGUGCAUCGACAAUUCGACCCAGUGGUGCAAGCCAGGCCGGCCGUCGAUCUUCAUCACCGCGACCAACCACUGCCCGCCGAACUACUAUUUGCCGAGCGACAAUGGUGGGUGGUGCAACCCGCCCCGUUUCCAACUUCGACCUGACUCAACCCGCCUUCUUGCAGAUCGCCGAGUAUAAAGCCGGGAUCAUUCCCGUCGCUUACCGGAGGUAAUAUUAAUUUGUUCCUAAAGGAUCAAUGUCCAUGAACUUUUUUUGUAGCACAUCUCUUUCGGUCAACAAAGGUGAAAUUAGGGGUGUAAAACACACCAGUCGCCUGGCUCGGCACGAGCUUGGGCCAGACCAAGGCAAGGCACGAGUAUUGUAGCACUCGUGCCGGACCGGCCCGACCCUAUAAAUCGGGUCGUGUUGGGCCUCCUCCUUUCGGCCCGUUCGCCCAGCACGGCCCAGCAAGAGACGGGUCUGGGCCGUACCGGGCUUAAGGUAAGGCCCCGGCCCGGCAUACGGAUGGUGCCUGCCAAGCCAGCACAGUCUAGCCCUUGGGAGUUGGGUACAACCUAAGGAUUUAAAUGCCGUAGCACGGGGUCGUGCUGGAAAGUUGCCAGCACGGUAUGACACAGUACGUAUUGGGCCGUGCCGAUGCAUAUUAGUCACAAAAAAUAUAUAUGCCGACACGUAAUAGUAUAAAAUAUUUAUUUUCUUUAGCUACAAAAUAUGCCAAUUGUUAUUAUGUAUUUUUAUUAAAUCUUUUGAACUAUAUUGAGAAAAUUACUUACUAAUUUUAAAAAUAGAGGGUUUUGAGUUGUGCCAUCGACACGGAGGUUGUACCGUACCGAUAUCUUGCUGGCACGAUAUGGCAUGGUGGGUACGGCUCAUGAUGAUGGGUAUCCCAACUCCAAAGGCUUUGGGAGUUGGAAGCCAGGUUAUGCCACCCUUGGGGCUCUCCAAAGGGUCUACUAUGGCGGGCCCUUUAAUUUUUAGCUGUUGGGAAGGAUAUUUUAUCCAAAAAAUAUAUAAUUUUUUUAAAAAAAUUAAAAUUCUAUCAUUUUUAUAAAUAUUUUUAAAAUUUGAAACUUUUCACUCAUACAUUAUUUUUCAUUAAUAGUAUUUUAAUUUUUAAUUUUCUAAAAUUCUAUAUAUUUUAAAAUAAAAUUAAGUAAAUAAGAAAUGGAUUGGCUUGAGGCCUGGCCCGACUUGGCACGACACGCCCCGUGCGGGCUAAGGGGCCAUGCUGGGCCAGGGGUCCAAGAAACUCAGCCUAGCACGGCAUAGCCCGACGUUGGGGUCGGGCCCGUUUCGACUCGGUAAAUGUGGGCUAUGCCGGCCCGGCCCGUCGAAUGUGGGCCGUGUUGACCCGGCCUGGCACGACCCACAUUACACCCUAGGUGAAAUGCAAUAUGGAAAAAAUGCAUCAUGACCUUUAUAAUAACAAACAAGAAAAUUUUAACCAUAGUAAAUCACACUACUAGUUCCUAAACUAGUAGUGUGAAAAAAGAGAAAACGAGGAAAGAGAAAGUGAGAAAAGAGAACUCAAUGAGGAGAGAGAAAGUGAACAUAGAUAAAAUAAGAAAAGAGGGAUGAGAGAGAAAAGGUGAAGAGAGAAAAAAAAUAAAGAGAGAGUAGAGAGAAAAGUAAGAAGAGAGUAUGUAAGGAGAGAGAAAUUAAGAGAGAGAAAGUGAGGAGAGAAAAUGAAUUGAGUAAUGUAAGAAGAAGGUUUUGUCAUUUAUUUAAUAUAAUAAAUUAAACAAUUUAUAGAGAGCACAAGCCAUAGUUGGUAAGGAAAAGGAAUUUUCAAGAGAAAAUUGAACUGUGUUGACUUUGCAUAAAUUAGAACAAAGGCCUUAGCUAUUCCACUAGGUGUUCAAUGAGGGCCGAUUCAUAGCCAUUGAAAACUUUAGAACAUACAAAAACUUAUUAAUUAUUAUAGCUCAUUAAAAGACAUAAUGAACAAGUAUUGUAUUUGAAAGCAAAAUUUAGUCUUUAAAACAGCUCAGUUCCGAUUCCUAGAUCGUGAUAAAAUUACAUCAAACCAAACCAUGUCGCUCCAACGGAUCAAACGCCAGAUCACAAGAUAAAAAUUGCACAGUAUUAGUACGCGGCUUAUAAUUAUUUCUUUCACAGGGUUUCUUGUAGGAAGCACGGUGGCAUCAAAUUUACGAUCACUGGAAAUCGAUACUUCAAUCUGAUUCUUGUUUGGAAUGUUGCGGGCGCCGGGGACGUCCACGGCGUGCAAGUGAAAGGAACUAAGUCCGGGUGGACUACAAUGAUACGAAAUUGGGGGCAGCAUUGGCAAACUAAUGCGGACUUGACGGGUCAAUCUCUAACAUUCAGAGUCACCACCAGUGACGGCCGCAGAUCAACCUCUAGACGUAUUGUUCCGCAGAAUUGGCAAUUCGGUCAGACCUUCGAAGGCAAAAAUUUUAGAAUAUAGGUGCAAAAGAUUUCAAAGUAUAUCGGCUAAAAAUGUACUGACAUAUAUCACAGCAAAAUGUAUCAUUUUUGUUAGUUGCUGAGAAAGAGAGUGAGAGAGAGAGAGCAUAAUUUUGUGACAGCUAAAUAGAGUGUUGCAAAAUUCGCAGAUUAUUGAAUCGCGUAGGGUGAUCCUUAAUCCGCCCAACAAUAACAGCUUCUUUUUUUUUUUCCCAACUAAUAAGUCUUUUGUGGAUCUUCUCAAUUAGGGGAACAAAGUCCCCGUGGAUGUCAAUGGAUAUGGAUACCUAAAAUUUUAUUCGAAUCCGAACUCAAACGGAGUGGAUUUAUCUGAUGCUAAAUGAAUAUAGUUUCGGAUAUGAAUAUCACAAGCGGAAACUCAACGGAUUUCGAAUAUAGAUUUUGAUUGUACCCGAUUCAAACCUGAACAACAUACCCGAACCCGAUACAAAUCCGAAAUUAUUUUACAUUAUAAAUAACAUGUAUAUAAAUAUUUAUUGUUAUAUUUGAAUUUAUAUUUUAAAAUUUUAAAUUUAAUAUAAUAUAUUUUAAAAUAUUGUAAAGAGAAAUAAUUAUUUUGUGUUUGAAUUUUCAGUUUCAGGUUACGAAUUUUUGGUCUGAUUCGGAUUUAGAUAUAUAUGAAUUUUUGAGAUCCAUCGAAUUUGAAUUCGGAUUCAAAUUUAAAGGAUUUGGCAGUCAGGCUUGGAUUCUAAUUUUUUAAAAUUCGCCUCAAAUCAGACCGAUUGAUGUCCUUAGGUGGGAAAAGGCAAGCCCAAUUAAUUAUUUUGCAUUAUUAUAAAGAAAAAAAAUAAAUUAAAUAGUUUUGCUAUAUUUCCCGUGAAAUAUUAUCCCUUUUUUUUUUUUUCUUUUUUUUUUUUUUCCCUCGAAAGGAUCCUACCUAUUCCCUACAUAUACUAUUUUGGCAUGAGCCCUUUAGUAAAAUCACAAGUGGGAUCGAAUCCUUAACCUCAUAGACAGCUACCUGAGAAUAAUAAUAUAUUUUUUAUAUUCGUAAACUAAACAAUCACAUAAAUUUAUCAAUACAUCAAUAAUAUUACGAUUACGAAGAAUUCUUAAUCUCAUUAACCGCUAUCUGAGAAUAAUAAUAUAUUUUUCAUAUAUGUAAUCUAAACAAUCAUAUAAAUUUAUCAACUCAUCAAUAAUAUUACACUUAUAAAAGGAUCCUUGACUUAAAUGGACCAGUAUUUUGUCAUGUGAUUCCGUCAGGUUGGGCCGAAUCACGCUCAAAAUGACGUGGGAUUUGAUUAGGUUGAGUCAUAUUUGAAGUGACAUAGGGUUAAUUUGGUUAGGUUGAGCCACAAUUGAGACCGAUAGGCGUUGUAUCUGCACACUUUAAGUGAAUUUAUUGUAUAUUUUUAAUAGCUCGAGCUUUUGAGUUUAAUAGCUAGCACCUAUGAUCCAACACCUCACAUGGCAAAGGUAUGGAGCUAACACGGUAUACAUUAUUUACUACUAAUGUGGCAAUUUUAUUCUAGUUUAUAGUAAAGAAAAAUAAGAAGAGAAAGACUUAGAAAAUAUUUUUGAAUGGUUUCUUUCCUUGUUGAGAGUAUUUCUUAUUGUAUUAGAAUAUAUAAAAGUUACAAAAUGUUACAAAUUAUAUGAUAUGCAUAAAAGAAAAUAAUUUGAAAUAAUAAAAUACAAUCAUAAUUUUUCUUUCUUGAGUGAUUGAAAUCAAUCUUGGUUGAGCACAAAUAAUCCUUCACGAGAUUUGAUCAACCUUCCAAAUUCGUCGCUUGAUCAUGAGCAUUUCCUUUUUGAUGAGAUGAUCCUUCACAAGAUUUGAUCAACCUUCCUAAUUCGUCUUUUAAUCAUGAGCAUUUCCUUUUUGAUGAGAAUCUUCAUUAAAUGAUUCUUAAUUAGUAGUAAUAUAAUUUUCACCACCCAUUUUAUGACUAAAUCCCUUUUUCAGGAUCCCAAGGAUUUCAUCAUUUAAUCAUAAUAUUGACUUUCCCAGCAUAUAUAUAUAUAUAUAUAUAUAUAUAUAUAUAUAUAUAUAUAUAUAUAUAUAUAUAUAUAUAUAUAUAUAUAUAUAUAGAAUGAAAUCUACUUAUCAUUUACACUUCUCCUCAUUAUAUUAUAUUAAACAAUUGUAUCUAUAUAUUCAUCGAUCUCCUUCCCCACUAGUUAGUACUGGUGAAGCCAUGUUAGGAGAAAGAGGACUCACAAUCUCCCUCCUGUUCCUGUUUCUAUUUCUCAUUUCAGGUUAGCUUUCCACAAUUUUCGUGUCCAAUCAAAUGAUCAACUCGUAUUAGAUUGAAUUACUGUGUUUUUCUCCUUCCAUUGUUUUGGUUUUGUGAUGUUAAUUUAAGAUGGCCCAUUGGGCAGAAUAUUUAAGGCUCGAGUUUGGAUUUAUGGAGAGAUUGGACUACAUACAGUAAAAAAGUACAAAAAAAAAAAUUAUAUUUGUUUUCAUACGUAAUACCAAGUUGUAGAUAUCUCAAUGAAUUAUUUACAUUAUAUUUUCUGUAAUCUUACUGAAAAAAAAAGGAAAAACAUAUUCUCAUAUACUUAAUUUAGCUUUAAAUUUAUUUUUCUAGCAACUUUAGACCUUUAUUGAAAAGAUCGAUCUAGUGAGAAACGGACCCAAUAAUAUAUACUAAUAUUCUUAUUUAUAUACACGAUGAAUAUGAAAUACACAUAAGAUUAUAGAUUAGAUGAAUUGACUUUAAUAUCAUAUUAUACAAAACAUCAUCUAAAAAAAUUAACAUAGAUGACCUCCAAUACCAGACAGGCCAUAUAAUAUUGAUCUGAAAUCAGGUGAAGAGAGCAUGCAUGCACUAAUAAAUUAAUUUCUACGUACGUGAAAGCUCUAACACAUUUUUGUAUCUCACUUUGAAGCUUAAAAUAGCAUGUCUAGCUAGCUAAUUGGAUCAGAAACUUUUAACUUGUAACAUAGUAAUAAAACAAAAAAAUAUAUAUAUUCUUGAUUAGGACCGAGCUCUCUUACAUAUAUAUUAGCUAGUUUGUUACUGUUUCCUUCACCUGUGUAUGUUUGGUUUAGCUCCUAUACAUUGUUGCUGCUUGUGUUUCAGGGGCAAACUCAAUUAGGAGAUAUUUUAUAGACAACGAGUGCCCCGGCGACUCGCUAUGGCUUGGUUCGGUCCCGGCGAUUGGGUUGCUUGACUUCGAGCUCCCGACGGGCACCCUCACCAUCAUCAACGCGGACGACCAUUGGCGGGGCCGCUUCUACUUCCGGAUGCAUUGCGCCGCCCACGACCGCAGCGGGGGGUUUGCCAACUUCACGUGCCUCACCGGCGACUGCCGCUCCAACGUCAUGUCCUGCGAGGGCCGCGACCCCGUCCCGCCCGCCACCGCCGUCGUCUUCGAGUACCAAACCAACACCGGCAACAUCGACCCCAAUAACUACUCCUACUACGUCGACCUCGUCCACGGCUUCAACGUGCCUGCAGUCGUCGCGCCGUUGUCCGGCGGACAGGGUCAGUGCCAGCUUGCCGGCUGCCCUGCGGAUAUUAACAAGAGUUGCCCGACAGAACUCCAGGCAUAGUAACAAAACUCGAUCACACGCAUAUUUCACGAAUUUUAUUUGAUUGUUAAUUUUAAUGCUUUUUUCCUGAAUAUUUUACAUUAUAUAUAUAUAUAUAUAUAUAUAUAUAUAUAUAUAUAUAUAUAUAUAUAUAUAUAUAUAUAUAUAUNNNNNNNNNNNNNNNNNUUAUCAAAUUUUAUGAUUUUAUUAAUUACUAAUUAGUCUAGAUUUGUUUGCUAAAGCGUGAGUUCUAUUACAUCACUUUUAUAUUUUUGUUUUAUAAAAAUCUGUAAAAAUUAUAAAAUUAAUUUGCUUAUUUAGACACCAAAUUUUGCUUGAGCUUUGAACAUUUUGCCGUCGCCCAAUUUAACCGCAUGCAUGCCAAAUAAACCAUAUAUAGUUACCAGAAUAGCACAAAACGCCCCUAGCUCCAAACUAUAUAUUUCGUAAGAAACUAAUUUUUUAUUACGUGCCAAUUUUUAUAUACUUUCUGAAGUAACGAUAUAUAAGAAUAACGUUCUGACUAAUCCUAUCUCUCGUGUUGUAUUUGUAUUAAUUGCCGUAACUUCGCAAUAAAUAACAUUGUGGUAGCUGCAGGUGAAGGACGCGAGCGGGGCGACGAUCGGGUGUAACAGCACGUGCGACGCCACGCAGGACCCGGCGGCCUGCUGCGAGGGCCAGUUCGCAGGCCGAGACGCCUGCCGGCCCUCGGCUCAGGCGAACUUGUUCAAGGGGGCGUGCCCGCUGGCCCACACUUGGAAGUACGAUGAUGAUCGGGCCAUAUACUCCUGCGCCGGAGCUGAUUUUAACAUAACACUAUGUCCCUCUAGCUAGUAGGACUCGCGCGUUACAAGUUAUUUAAUGUAAGGAAUAAUAAUCAUAUUAAUAAUAAUAUAUAUAAUGUAGAGCUAUAACUGGUGAUUUGUAUCGUAAUUGUGUGUUAUUUCACAAUUAAUACAAAUCUCGUAUUUAUUAUAAUAGAAUGCUUACACCGUUAAAACGGAUUUGAUAUCAAUCACAACAAAUAUAUAUUACGAUUUAUAACAGUGAUUCUGAUAUGUAAAGAGAGAUUGAGAGACAGAGACAGAGAGAGAGAAAGAAAGCAUAUAUAAAUAUAUAUAUAUAUAUAUAUAUAUAUAUAUAUAUAUAUAAAGAGGGAGAGCUUUACUGACCUACACACUAACGGUAGUAAAUAGUUCGAUUUACUAUAAAUUUAUUUUUGAUAAUAGAGUUUCGAAGUCGAUAAUCAAUACUGUUGAAUAUGAUCUAAAUCAUUUAAACUAUUUAAAAAUUAAAUUUUACGCUUUUUCGAUAUUAUUUUUUUUGUCCAUCAAGUGAACAGACAAUGAAUGACUGAAAAUAAAUACCUUCUAAAAAAUGAUGAUAUAAUUUUUGUAUUUAAGAUCUAUACUUUAUAUCUUGUUUUAAAUAGUUUAAACAAUUUUCUAAUAAAACUUUUGCUCAUUUGGAUUUCUUCUAUACCCGUCUACAAGCAAACAAGCAAACAUAUUGUAUUGACUAUUAAAAUUACAGAUUUUAUGACUUUUUGAUCAUUUGGUUAGUGAUGUCAGAAAGAUAUGAAAUUGAAUUUCUAGAUAGUUUAAAUGGUCAAGAUCAUAUUUAAUGAUGUCGAUUGUCGAUUUGAAAGCUCUAACAUCGAAAAUAAAUCAAUAGUAAACCGAGCCGUUUACUACCGAUAGUAGUCUAGUCCAGCAUAUGUAUAUAGAGUUCAGCUAUGGUGCUUGUAAAAGCACCAAAUACUUCGUGUUUGUAAAUUUUUUAUCAUUAGAUCUAUUUCUUUGAUUAUUUCUACCCGUUAGAUCAUACUAUUCAACCAACCACCCACCCAACCCUAGAGGUCCGCAUCAUCCUAACUGCAAAUUCCUUAAUCCAAUGACCAAAUAUUUACAAGUACCAAUAACUUAGUAUUCUUAAAAGCAUAGGAAUUCAAUUUUAUAUAUAUAUAUAUAUAUAUAUAAAAUAAAUCUAGGGGUACUAUUCAACCCUAUGAGGGAUUGCAAUCAUCCCAACCGUACAAUUCUUGAUGGAAGGGUUAAAAAAUCGGAAGCAUCAAAUUCUUUAUACUUCCGAUUAAAUAUAUAGUAUAGAGUUACUAUGCUAUCGAAAGUAUAGAGAAUUUGAUAUUUUCAAUUUUUGACUUUUGGAUCAAGAAUUGUACAAUUGGAAUGAUUGCGGUCCUUCCUAGGAUUGAGUAGAAUCUUUAGAGUUGAGUGGUCCCCACAAGAUAAUAGUUAAUCUUAAGGUUAGAAAUAAUUAAAGAAACUGAUUUAAAGGCUAAAAAGUCGGAAGCACCAGAUUCUCUAUAUUUUCAAUAGCAUAGUAGCUCUACUAUUUAUAUAUUAUAAAAGUAUUUAAUAUACAGCUGCAAAUUGCAAUAUAAAAUAUUUAAGAAUUGAAUCCACAACGCGACAGCAAAAAAAUCCAUACAACGAACCAAACCAUGCCCCACUCUCAAACAAGUGGUUGACAAAUCCCUAUCUUUGGCAAUACCGAAAUUAUUGUGUGAACCCGGAGCAUUCUUUUAUUUAUACACCAUUUAUUUACCAGCCAUAUUUUAUUAAUAAAACCAAUAACUUAUGACAUUAAUUUUGACUUUUACCGUUAUUCAAAAAAUUGAUUUGAAUCUGAUCAUAUUCAGUGAUAAUAGAAGAAAUAGAAAGUNGCCAAGCCGGAAGCCCUCCAAGUUACCAAGUAGCAGCAUAUGCUUGUCGUUGCCUAUCUUGCUAUUAAUUGUAUGCUUGAGAAAAUAUACAGAAUAUUUUUAAAGUAAAAAAUUAUUAUUCAUAUAAAAUUUUAAUUUUAGUUAUAUAUAAUUGGAUAGUUUAAUCCAAUAUUUAUCUAUAUAAUUUAUUUAUUUUUGACUGCAUAAAUGAAAAUGAAUAAUAUGGAGAUUGAAGGCGGAAGAAAAGACAUGUGAGACUGAAAAGAUUAGAUAUUCAACUCAUAAAUUUUUUUUAAUAUUAUAAUACUAUAUUUUAUAUAAUUAUUUUAUACUUUGAACUAUUAGACAUAUUUUUGUAUCAAAUUAUAGAAAAUGUUCUUUACAAAUUAAACUAUUGAUCGUAUGAUGUUGAGAAUUUCAAGCAGCUCGUUUAGGGCUCGAGCUCGUUCGACUUGAAAUUAGACUCGCUCGAGCUCGGCUCGAAUUAAUUUUAAUCCAAGCUUGAGCUUAAAUUUAGGCUCGAAAUUAAUUUCAAGCCGAAUUUGAGCCGAGAUAAGCUCGCUCUAGCUCGGCUCGUUUCCACCCCUAACCAAACGAUCAAAAAGUCACAAAAUUAGUGAUUUUAAUGGUAUGUACAGUACUCUUGUUUGUUCGCUUUAUGGUAUAAGAAUCCAAAUUAGUUAAAUUUUUGUUCAAUUUUGUUAAAAACUAUUUAAAUAAGAUCUAGAUUCUAGAUCUUGAAUACAAAAAUUAUAUCAUCAUCUUUCGAUGAAUAUUUAUUUCUAACCAUUCAUUUUAUACCAAAUUUAUGCAUAAAAUAUAUAUUUGACUUUACCAAAUAGUAGUAGUGUUGGAGCCGAAAUUCCCCGACCCUUGACCUAGUCAACGAUCUCCCUCAGGAAAUGCGUCGGGAUGCGAGACUGACCCUCGAAGUUUGCCCCCUUCGACAGAUCAAGCAAUUCGGCUGAUGAGGGAUCGGAUCAGCCGGGUUCAAAGCCUUUAUAAGAGAAUCGGUUCGGCUGCGAUGAGCCGAAUACUUGAAUCAAGCCAGAAAGCGUGUAGAGAGAGGAGCCGAAUGGCCAAAACAAUACAAGAUCUGGUCGGCCGGAAGAGCCGAAAACAACUUUCUAUUAAAUAGAACUGGAAAAAGUACAACGAGAUGGGUUUUAAUCUACAAUGGAGUGAUGCCCAAAGGGCAGACAGACUCCGGGUUGCUAAGUUACAGGAACUACUCCUAGGAAAAAUAAGUAAAUGCGAGAAAGAAAGAUGCGAGAAAAUAAAGGUGGUCUUUUAUGCGCAGGGGCGAAGACCCCUUUUCAAAGUAUCAUUGACCUAUUUAUAGAAUCGCCCCUGAUUCGGUUAUUACAUGAUCGGCCACUACCUCCUAAAAUCUCGGACCACCUUCAGUCGAUCGAACCGCUCGCAACUGCUUGCGGUUGCUGUAACUUCCUAUUGGCGUGACGGUUUUCUUCUUUACUUUUUCGGUGCUCCUGGUGCACGAUUAUGUAAGGACUGAGAUUUUUUUUACAGUGCAACUAAACUCUCUGUUGACGAUGUUUAUGUGUGUAAUUUAAUUACAUAAGUACUCGUCAAGUUUCAGGAGAAAAUGAGCUAAAAUGGAGAAGUUACGCGAUUUUUAAAUUUCACUUAAGUGAAUAGUAACUCCGCUUUUUCAGAAAGGCCAAUGCGUGAAGUAGGCUUCUGGUGCGUAUCGGACUAUGUUCAUAGCGAUCCAAUAGCUCGUUUCGAACGGUUCAGCUAUUCUGGAACCAAUGGGACCGACGGAUUUCAGAUCCGAUGCACGAUUUUUGAGAAAAAGGAGUUUUAACAAAAAGAGGGUUUCUGCUCUUUGCUAUUCGUGCAUUUUAAAACUCCUCGUGCUCUGUGCUUGUGACCUGGGUUUAGGUGAGAGUUGUUUCUGGUACCUACUGGUGGUAGGAAAUUCAAAUUUGAAUUUGAAUUAAAGGUUUUAGGGUUUAUACUUUGGUAUAUGUGCGUUAUACGGAUUAAUUAGAGAGCGGAUGGGUUCCGUCGCGAAUCUGUGACCAAAUCUGACGAACAAGAUUGUAGUUUUAUUACCCUCGUCAUGCUGAAUGCGAUGACACUGUCGGAUCGAAAAUCCGACGGAUCUUCAGAAUAAGCGAGAUGUUCGCUGAGGGGUCAAAGUGGCAAAACGGAUAAAUCGCGAAGAGACCCUAUAUUUUAUGUGCCGAAUUGCGUGAGAUCGGACAUGGAGGUGCAUAUGUGUAAAAUACGCGCGCUGUGAGGGACUUGACUGAGAAUAUUACCCCUGGGAGGACUAUUUUGCAAAAUGCACAUAUGUGUAUAGUGGUUGCACUAGGGUUUCAUGAGGAAACCCUAACUGUUGGCCUCCCUCUUCCUCCAACUGCGCCCCAGCCUGUUUUUCCCCCACCCCCCCUGGACCCUCCCCAGACCGGCCGCGGCGUCCGGCCCCGGCGGAGCAGCCCGCCCCGGUCGCGGAAAAGCCCACCCAGCCACCUCUGCCAUCUUCUCUUGUAAACCCGAUCCACCACCCUCUCGCCUAUGUACACAGGGGAAACGUGCACGAAGCCUCGAGGAUCCCUUCACUUGUGGCAGAAAAGGCUAGUCUCUCCGGCGCCGAUUCCCCGCAGGCUCUCCGUCGUACACCGCCGCGCGCCCGCAACCCGUCCUUCGCUCUGCGCGCACCAGCGCCAAGACCUGACCGAGACCGAGCGGCAGCCUAUUGUGGCCCCCAAGCGCCGCCGCCACGUCCUCGGUCCGCCGCCCUCCGUCGGCCUCCGCGGCAGCUGCCCGCCCGACAUCGUCGCCGCCCACGUCGCCGCCCGCCGCCGUGCUCUCCCUCUCUGCGGCGCGCCAGACGAGUGCGGGCCGAGCCGGGGCUAGCUCAUGGGCCUCCGCGCGCCGAGCCGCCGUUCCCCACGCCGGCGAUUUGCCAACUUCCUCCACCUCCGCGGGUGCUGGCCGCAGCCUCGACCUUCUCCGGCCCUCCGCCAUGGCCACCGCGCCACCUUUGGAGCCCGUAAUGACCUGCGCGGGGCUCGGUUUGUCCAGCACACAGCCGCCCGCGUCUUCCCCGCCAUCCGGUCGUGGAGCACCGGCUCCGCCUGGCCGGCCGCACUCGUCCGCCGCCGGCGCCCCCACCGCCGGAGCUCCCUGUCAACCGUGGUGAGCCCAUGCUCUCCUCGGGUUGUCCAACUAGGGCAUCAAUGCCCGCCGUUGUCGCCGCCUCCCGUCGCCUGUUGACGCGAGCCCCGGCCUCCUCUGACCUGGAGCACCUUCCCCUGGCCGGCCUGCCCGCCGUCCGGCCGCCGCUGGCCACCCCGAGCCCUGCCUAGCUCUGUAAGCUUGAUUUCAGCCUUUCUGUGCAUAGUCUCUAGUUCUGUUCACUAUUCCGGCGACCCGAGGCUGUUCCGAUGCCUCCAGGGGUGAGCACAGUGAUAUUCUGUCAGUCCUGAUCACAGUGCUCACCUCAAUUAGGGUCAGCGAGCCCCUGGUUAGCGAGAUAAACAUGUUUUUCAUGCUGUGCGCGCUGUUCGCAGAUUUUCGCGUCACUCCCGCGCUCUCCGCUGUGGCCGAUAUUGCUCCGAAAGGUGAGCACGGCCUCCGGCACGUCGAAACCUGUCAGUGGGUAUUUUGACUCGGCUGAUUGACCCCUGGUUUGCGUAAACGGACCAUAAAAGCGCCGAAAUCGCAUGAAAUAAUGCGAUUUCGGGUAUUCGGAAGGGCUUUUAUGCAACUUUGUCCGUCGUGGCUGCUGUUGGCAGCAAGUAUGGGCUGGGGAUAACCUCCGGACUGAUUGUCCAAGGCCUCGGACCUUUGCGAAGAUCGAAAAUGUAUUUUCGGUUCGUUUGUCGGCAAAAUCCGCCGACGGAACGCUGUUUUGGUUCGGAAUUGUUCCGACGAUGCUUCGUGAGCUAUUGUGUAGUCGCCGAGUCUUGUUGGCUGGUCACCCACAUCAUUUCGAGAGUUCAGAAAUGACGGAUGAGCGGCGGUGGGUUCCGGUGUCGAAAUAGACACUUCCGGGAACCCGGAUCAGAACGAUUAUCCGACGAUAAUCGUUUUGGAGUGAGUUAAGGUCUCUGCUGCCAAGUCACAUGUAAAUUGUAUUUAGUGGCAGCGGGUGACUCGUAGUACGAGUCGGUGAGUUCCGGGACAGUCCGUGGGUCCCGGCAGAGUCUCGGUGCGGUUUUCGGGACUUCCGUUUUGUUCGGUAAUCGGUUUUGGGAAACCGAUCUCCGUGGGAUUGUUUGUGGGUUGUGUAUUCAGUGGUUUAUUUGUGGGGUUAUGCUUUUAGGGUUUCUUAGUUGUGCGUUAGACACUAACCCAGUGGACCCUCCUUAGGUCCUGUUGACGUUCUUUUGCAGUCAGGAGACAGGCGCGACAAUUGUACAGGUGGGUACUUCGAUCCGACGUUGGUACAGUGGUGCACGCUCCGUGAUGGUUUUUACCAUUGCUUUUGUUAUAACCAGUGAUAUAUUAUAUGUUAGCUUUGCACCUCUAUUGUUUAUAUUCACCACUGUUUGUUUGAAUUUUAUCUCUAGAGUUUAGUGCUUAGUAUCAGGUGCUAGGGUAUAUAUAUCUGUAUGUGAUACAUGUUUCCUUGAUGCUCUACUUAGCUAUUUGAAAACCUGAUUCAGAAUACAAAUGUUAAGAUAGGCGAUUCCGUUUAUUUUAGCAUCAGCGUUAGUACGGGUUGGUCGAGUUCUAGGUAUUCGUAUUGUGACCUAUUCGAGUGAAGUUCCUCGACUUUGUUGUCUGCAAAAAUGACGUUGAAAAGUGGUAUACCUGAGGCGGUGGGAUGGUCGUAGUUACCGACGGAACAGAUUAUACCUACCUUCCUUAUUCACUAUUAUAGAAUGUUCAGAAUGACAUUAGUAUUCAAUGCAUCUAUCACCUAUACUUGUGAAUGAUUGGCGAUUUUAUUUGCCAUUAAUUGUGAGUGAUUGGUCGAGUUUUAUUACCUAGUCUGAUUCGAGUGGCGGAUCUCUGUGGUUCAUUGCAGCGUAUUGCAUUGUUUGAGGGAGGAUCGACUGUUGUACCCAUCCUAGUUGGCGCUGAGUGGUCGGUUUUGUGUUUUUACAUGUUGACUGACUGCGGAUCGAUGGGCCCUGGGGGGGGAUGAAAAUACCAGGCUGAGUUGCAGACGUUGAUAUUGAGAAUUUGCAUUGAUCGCCCGGAUACUGUCGCAUUCACGAACACUGGACGGUCUGAUCCACCGCAGGAGUGUUCUUUGCGGAAAAGUGGUUUGAAUAGCUGUGCAACCCGUGAGCCUAAGGGGUUAUAUGCAUGGAGAGUAGUAGUGCAUUGGACUUGAGGUUGCGGUUGCCUGCAGGAGAAUUGGUUUUGUUGGUACUUUUGAUGAUGUGUCCGUGAGCAUACGCUAUCGUAGCAGUUGUUGCAUGCAUAUUUACAGUUUUUCUAUUAUUACUUGUCUUGCUCUAUAGUUGAUACCAAGUAUGUUUUAUAUUCUUCUUACAGUAGCGGUAGUCGUUAUUAUAAAUUUGGUUCAUGUAUUGAUGUUGCUAUAUAUUUAGACUAUAUUGUAUUAUUUAUACAUUCUUUCGUUAUAUUGUUCUACUGUAUUCCAGCUGACGUUUUUGUUAUAUAGCUUCCUGAUCCGGUGAGUAUCUCGCUUUUUCUUCGGGUUGCGGUACCUACUGGGAGGGCGAGCAUGUUUAAUGUUAUCACUCCGCCAUUUUUUUUAGGUAUCGCGAGCGAUGAGUAGUGGGACGAGACGUGAGGUACGUGUGUAGCGGUCGAUAGAGCUUCCGACCCAGGUUAUUUCGGUAUAGUUAUUACCCUUAUUAUUUCAGUUGUUAUAGCUUAGAUAGUUAUAUGGUUCAGUAUUUUUAUUACAUUUGAAAAUAUGGAUUUUCGUGAAUGUAAUAAACGGAUUUCUGGAUUUUGUAAAAUAAAAGGUUUUCUACCCCUCGUGGCAGCGUUUUUAAAGAAUAAAGGUUUUCGUGUAGGAAACAGUUUUCAAAAGGUUUUCUGUGGAUUUUGCAUCUUAGUAUUUCAAAACCUGUUUCUGUGGUUGGAAAUAUUUUAACUGAUAGGUGUGGAUUUAUGCAUAAAUGUGAAUCUGUGGUGAAUGGUGUAUGAAUAUGUAUAACGGUUGGUUAUUUGUAUGUUCAUUUGUUGUGGUUGUGCCUGGAUGACUUCUUGUACUUGUGCGACGCCGUGCAAAUACAGGAGAGAUUCUGUCCGUGUGAACAGUGGAUUCCCUGUAUUUGUGGCGGAUCUGGCAUACUCUGGGGUCAGGUUUUCAAAAAUAAAAUUCAGACGCUUUUCCGCUUUGUUUUAAACUGAAAAGGGACCCCGGGGCGUGACAGAUUAGAUUAAUGCCUUUGAAGGCGAUUUCCGU